rnacentral:rRNA from 1 species
AGAGUUUGAUCCUGGCUCAGAACGAACGCUGGCGGCGUGGAUAAGACAUGCAAGUCGAACGGGAUUUUAUUGGUAGUAAUACUAGUAAAAUUUAGUGGCGAACGGGUGCGUAACACGUGAGUAAUCUGCCGAGAAGUGGGGGAUAGCUCGUCGAAAGGCGAAUUAAUACCGCAUAUGACUAAUGGGGACAUCCCUGUGACGUCAAAGCCGCAAGGCGCUUCUUGAUGAGCUCGCGGCCUAUCAGCUAGUUGGUGAGGUAAUGGCUCACCAAGGCUAUGACGGGUAGCUGGUCUGAGAGGACGACCAGCCACACUGGAACUGAGACACGGUCCAGACACCUACGGGUGGCAGCAGUCGAGAAUUUUUCACAAUGGGGGAAACCCUGAUGGAGCGACGCCGCGUGGAGGAUGAAGGCUCUUGGGUCGUAAACUCCUGUCAUAAGAGAACAAGAAAGUGAUAGUAUCUUAAGAGGAAGAGACGGCUAACUCUGUGCCAGCAGCCGCGGUAAUACAGAGGUCUCAAGCGUUGUUCGGAUUCAUUGGGCGUAAAGGGUGCGCAGGCUGCGUGGUAAGUCGGGUGUGAAAUUUAGGGGCUUAACCCCUAAACUGCAUUCGAUACUGCCAUGCUAGAGGACUGUAGAGGAGAUUGGAAUUCACGGUGUAGCAGUGAAAUGCGUAGAUAUCGUGAGGAAGACCAGUGGCGAAAGCGAAUCUCUGGGCAGGUCCUGACGCUCAUGCACGAAAGCUAGGGGAGCAAACGGGAUUAGAUACCCCGGUAGUCCUAGCAGUAAACGUUGCACG